rnacentral:rRNA from 1 species
UACGUAGGGGGCAAGCGUUGUUCGGAUUUACUGGGCGUAAAGGAUGCGUAGGCGGACAUUUAAGUCAGAUGUGAAAUACCCGAGCUUAACUUGGGUGCUGCAUUUGAAACUGGGUGUCUAGAGUGCAGGAGAGGUAAGUGGAAUUCCUAGUGUAGCGGUGAAAUGCGUAGAGAUUAGGAAGAACACCAGUGGCGAAGGCGACUUACUGGACUGUAACUGACGCUGAGGCAUGAAAGCGUGGGGAGCAAACAGG